CAGGGCUAUAGGGAUGAAGACUGGCUUUGCAGAGUGAGUAAUCACAGGUGGACAAGACAGAAGAGGUGUUCUUAAGCAGAGGAAACAGUAAAUUGUAAAUGUCUUUCAUAGGAGAUGGUGCCUCAUGAGCUAAAUUCUGAAGGAUGAGUAAGACUAGGUGGACAAGAUAGGAAAGAACAAUUCUGGCAGAGGAAGAAAAGCAAAGCAAACUACUAAGCUUCAUUACAGAUUUCAUAAGCUCCAGAAGGUCAGGGGCCGUGUGCUGCUCAACUUGGUAAUCCUGACUCUAGCACAAAGCCUGGCCAAGGGUACGAUAUUGGAAUGAAUGAUGGGAGGGUUUCUGGCUGCAAAACUAUAAUAUGCAUUGACUUUGACGAUGUAUGAGCCAAGGAAAGAACACUGGAAGUCCAAGCAGGAAUACAAUCUUCACAUGCCCUGUGCUGCUUCUCUACGCAGAGGCCAUUAUCUGGGUCCAGCACACAGCUGCAGGAGGGAUAGGCAGACUCAAAGCAGUGAUGGAGGAAGGAGACCACCACAGAAUCAAGAGUCAGUCGGACUACGUUCUUGACACUGAAAAAUUCAUUGAACAUAGAAAACCACAAUCUAGGAUUGAGAACACAGGUCCUAGAACAGAGCUUCCACUUUCAGUGUUAAAUCACCCACAGAGCUUGUUAAAACACAGAGUCCUGAACAUCACCCAAAAGGUUUUGAGUCAGUCUAGAGUGCACCCAAGAAUUUGCCUUUUGAACAAGCUCCCAGGUAUUGUUUAUGCUGCUGGUCUGCAGUUCACACUUUGCGAAUAGAUAAAGUCAGGUGCCCUGGCCUCAGUAUUGUCUUCACCACUUACAUUAUGCUAAACAAAUAAAUGAACUCAGUUGACUCCUCUGCGAAGUGGGGUAAUAAUAGUUCCUGCCUCAUAAUGCUGCUUUGAUGAUUAAGUGAGAGAAGCCAUGUAAAGUUCCUGUCAAAACACUCAAAAAUUU
rnacentral:lncRNA from 1 species